GCCGGGCUCUGUGGCGCAUGCCUGUAGUCCCAGCUACUCGGGAGGCUGAAGUGGGAGGAUCGCUUGAGCUCAGGAGUUCUGGGCUGUAGUGCGCUAUGUUGAUCGGGUGUCUGCACUAAGUUCGGCAUCAAUAUGGUGACCUCCCAGGAGCAGGGGACCACCAGGUUGCCUAAGGAGGGGUGAACCGGUCCAGGUCAGAAACGGAGCAGGUCAAAACUCCCAUGCUGAUCAGUAGUGGGAUCGCGCCUGUGAAUAGCCACUGCACUCCAGCCUGGGCAACAUAGUGAGACCCUGUCUCU
rnacentral:SRP_RNA from 1 species